rnacentral:pre_miRNA from 1 species
GGUGAAAUUGUUGGGUCAUAUGGUAACUCUAUAUUUAGCAUUUUGAGGAACUGCCAGACUGUUAUCUAAAGUAACUGCACCAUUUUACAAUCCCACCAGCAUU